rnacentral:rRNA from 1 species
UACGGAGGGUGCAAGCGUUAUCCGGAUUCACUGGGUUUAAAGGGCGCGUAGGCGGCGUGACAAGUCACUUGUGAAAUCUCCGGGCUUAACUCGGAACGGUCAAGUGAUACUGUUGUGCUAGAGUACAGAAGGGGCAAUCGGAAUUCUUGGUGUAGCGGUGAAAUGCGUAGAUAUCAAGAGGAACACCAGAGGCGAAGGCGGAUUGCUGGGCUGAUACUGACGCUGAGGCGCGAAAGCUAGGGUAGCAAACGGG